GCAGUCACGAAUUUUCACUCCUCUGAAAAAUGGAAAUUCAGUAACAGGAUUUGUUAGAAAGAAAUGCCUCAGCUUAGGCAGUUCUUCAAGCUCCAACUUUUCCAACAGGGGAAAUAAGGUCAUGAUUUCUUCUCCUUGUUGUUCCUCUUCUGUGAUCACUUCUUCCAUUGACACACAAUUGUCUAUUAAUAUUCUUCGUAGAUUCAGUGCACCCCGAGCCACUGAUGGAGACAUCAAGUUUCUCAACUUUCCACAAUCCGAUACAUGCAAUGUUUCAAGUUUGCUGAAGUAGGCAGUUGGAAGUUGGUGAGAGCAUAGAGCACUUAUGCUUUCAAGUUUCCUGAUGAUUAGCUGGUGAGAGCAUAGAGCACUUAUGCUUUUAAGUUUCCUGAUGAUUAGCUCUUUCAAGUUAGGACAAGAAACCUGCAAACGUUGAAGUAUUAUAAAGCAAUUCAGAAUUUAAAAUUUAUAGAUAUCUCUAAUGAACUCAGGUUAAUAUCCAAUAACAAUCGCGUUCACAAUCAAGGAAUCUCUAGAUAUUACUAAUACAGAUUAAAGUCUCUAGGAAAAAGCUAUUAGAUUCACGUGAACCCUUGAGUUACAAUAUUGUAGCUUCGCUUAUAUUUCUUACCUCCGUUUACAUAGAUAUCAGGUGGCAAACAGAAAUAACUGUAUGAAAAUAUUACUAUUACUAUUAUUAUUUGCUAGUUAAAAUGGAAAGAUAGCAACAUACCAGGGGUGUAUUAAUGUAUGACACAAAUAUAUAUAGUAUUUAGUUAUAAAGCUAACGGCACAAGACAAACCUUAGAAUUGAACAUUGCUUUAUUGAGAUCAACUACUUUCACCUCAUCAGCAUUGUUCACACUUUCGAGACUCAGCGUACUCACAGAUAUUCCCUGUUGGACAAACAUCUUCAUUUCAUGGCAGUCACGAAUUCUCAAUUCUCUGAGAAAUGGAAAUUCAGUAACAUGCUUUGUCAAAAAGAAAUGCCUCAGCUUACGCAGUUCUUUAAGCUCCAACUUUUCCAACAGGGGAAAUAAGGUCAUGAUUUCUUCUCCUUGUUGUUCCUCUUCUGUGAUCACUUCUUCUAUCGACACACAAUUGUCUAUUAAUAUUCUUCGUAGAUUCAGUGCACCCCGAGCCACUGAUGGAGACAUCAAGUUUCUCAAGUUUCCACAAUCCGAUACAUACAAUGUUUCAAGUUUGUUGAAGUAGGCAGUUGGAAGUUGGUGAGAGCAUAGAGCACUUAUGCUUUUAAGUUUCCUGAUGAUUAGCUCUUUCAAGUUAGGACAAGAAACCUGCAAACGUUGAAGUAUGAUAAAGCAAUUCAGAAUUUGAAAUUUAUAGAUAUCUCUAAUGAUCUCAGGUUAAUAUCCAAUAACAAUCGCGUUCACAAUCAAGGAAUCUCUAGAUAUUACUAAUACAGAUUAAAGUCUCUAGGAAAAAGCUAUUAGAUUCACGUGAACCCUUGAGUUACAAUAUUGUAGCUUCGCUUAUAUUUCUUACCUCCGUUUACAUAGAUAUCAGGUGGCAAACAGAAAUAACUAUAUGAAAAUAUUACUAUUACUAUUAUUAUUUGCUAGUUAAAAUGGAAAGAUAGCAACACACCAGGGGUGUAUUAAUGUAUGACACAAAUAUAUAUAGUAUUUAGUUAUAAAGCUAACGGCACAAGACAAACCUUAGAAUUGAACAUUGCUUUAUUGAGAUCAACUACUUUCACCUCAUCAGCAUUGUUCACACUUUCGAGACUCAGCGUACUCACAGAUAUUCCCUGUUGGACAAACAUCUUCAUUUCAUGGCAGUCAUGAAUUCUCAAUUCUCUGAGAAAUGGAAAUUCAGUAACACGCUUUGUCAAAAAGAAAUGCCUCAGCUUACGCAGUUCUUUAAGCUCCAACUUUUCCAAUAGGGGAAAUAAGGUCAUGAUUUCUUCUCCUUGUUGUUCCUCUUCUGUGAUCACUUCUUCCAUUGACACACAAUUGUGUAUUAAUAUUCUUCGUAGAUUCAGUGCACCCCGAGCCACUGAUGUUGACAUCAAGUUUCUCAAGUUUCCACAACUCGAUACAUACAAUAUUUCAAGUUUGCUGAAGUAGGCAGUUGGAAGUUGGUGAGAGCAUAGAGCAGUUAUGCUUUUAAGUGUCCAGAUGGUUAGAUCUUUCAAGUUGGGACAAGAAA
rnacentral:lncRNA from 1 species